rnacentral:rRNA from 1 species
GGGUUGUGAGGUUAAGCGACUAAGCGUACACGGUGGAUGCCCUGGCAGUCAGAGGCGAUGAAGGACGUGCUAAUCUGCGAUAAGCGUCGGUAAGGUGAUAUGAACCGUUAUAACCGGCGAUUUCCGAAUGGGGAAACCCAGUGUGAUUCGUCACACUAUCAUUAACUGAAUCCAUAGGUUAAUGAGGCGAACCGGGGGAACUGAAACAUCUAAGUACCCCGAGGAAAAGAAAUCAACCGAGAUUCCCCCAGUAGCGGCGAGCGAACGGGGAGCAGCCCAGAGCCUGAAUCAGUGUGUGUGUUAGUGGAAGCGUCUGGAAAGGCGUGCGAUACAGGGUGACAGCCCCGUACACAAAAAUGCACAUACUGUGAGCUCGAUGAGUAGGGCGGGACACGUGGUAUCCUGUCUGAAUAUGGGGGGACCAUCCUCCAAGGCUAAAUACUCCUGACUGACCGAUAGUGAACCAGUACCGUGAGGGAAAGGCGAAAAGAACCCCGGCGAGGGGAGUGAAAAAGAACCUGAAACCGUGUACGUACAAGCAGUGGGAGCACGCUUAGGCGUGUGACUGCGUACCUUUUGUAUAAUGGGUCAGCGACUUAUAUUCUGUAGCAAGGUUAACCGAAUAGGGGAGCCGAAGGGAAACCGAGUCUUAACUGGGCGUUAAGUUGCAGGGUAUAGACCCGAAACCCGGUGAUCUAGCCAUGGGCAGGUUGAAGGUUGGGUAACACUAACUGGAGGACCGAACCGACUAAUGUUGAAAAAUUAGCGGAUGACUUGUGGCUGGGGGUGAAAGGCCAAUCAAACCGGGAGAUAGCUGGUUCUCCCGAAAGCUAUUUAGGUAGCGCCUCGUGAAUUCAUCUCCGGGGGUAGAGCACUGUUUCGGCAAGGGGGUCAUCCCGACUUACCAACCCGAUGCAAACUGCGAAUACCGGAGAAUGUUAUCACGGGAGACACACGGCGGGUGCUAACGUCCGUCGUGAAGAGGGAAACAACCCAGACCGCCAGCUAAGGUCCCAAAGUCAUGGUUAAGUGGGAAACGAUGUGGGAAGGCCCAGACAGCCAGGAUGUUGGCUUAGAAGCAGCCAUCAUUUAAAGAAAGCGUAAUAGCUCACUGGUCGAGUCGGCCUGCGCGGAAGAUGUAACGGGGCUAAACCAUGCACCGAAGCUGCGGCAGCGACGCUUAUGCGUUGUUGGGUAGGGGAGCGUUCUGUAAGCCUGUGAAGGUGUGCUGUGAGGUAUGCUGGAGGUAUCAGAAGUGCGAAUGCUGACAUAAGUAACGAUAAAGCGGGUGAAAAGCCCGCUCGCCGGAAGACCAAGGGUUCCUGUCCAACGUUAAUCGGGGCAGGGUGAGUCGACCCCUAAGGCGAGGCCGAAAGGCGUAGUCGAUGGGAAACAGGUUAAUAUUCCUGUACUUGGUGUUACUGCGAAGGGGGACGGAGAAGGCUAUGUUGGCCGGGCGACGGUUGUCCCGGUUUAAGCGUGUAGGCUGGUUUUCCAGGCAAAUCCGGAAAAUCAAGGCCGAGGCGUGAUGACGAGGCACUACGGUGCUGAAGCAACAAAUGCCCUGCUUCCAGGAAAAGCCUCUAAGCAUCAGGUAACAUCAAAUCGUACCCCAAACCGACACAGGUGGUCAGGUAGAGAAUACCAAGGCGCUUGAGAGAACUCGGGUGAAGGAACUAGGCAAAAUGGUGCCGUAACUUCGGGAGAAGGCACGCUGAUACGUAGGUGAAGCGACUUGCUCGUGGAGCUGAAAUCAGUCGAAGAUACCAGCUGGCUGCAACUGUUUAUUAAAAACACAGCACUGUGCAAACACGAAAGUGGACGUAUACGGUGUGACGCCUGCCCGGUGCCGGAAGGUUAAUUGAUGGGGUUAGCGCAAGCGAAGCUCUUGAUCGAAGCCCCGGUAAACGGCGGCCGUAACUAUAACGGUCCUAAGGUAGCGAAAUUCCUUGUCGGGUAAGUUCCGACCUGCACGAAUGGCGUAAUGAUGGCCAGGCUGUCUCCACCCGAGACUCAGUGAAAUUGAACUCGCUGUGAAGAUGCAGUGUACCCGCGGCAAGACGGAAAGACCCCGUGAACCUUUACUAUAGCUUGACACUGAACAUUGAGCCUUGAUGUGUAGGAUAGGUGGGAGGCUUUGAAGUGUGGACGCCAGUCUGCAUGGAGCCGACCUUGAAAUACCACCCUUUAAUGUUUGAUGUUCUAACGUGGACCCGUGAUCCGGGUUGCGGACAGUGUCUGGUGGGUAGUUUGACUGGGGCGGUCUCCUCCUAAAGAGUAACGGAGGAGCACGAAGGUUGGCUAAUCCUGGUCGGACAUCAGGAGGUUAGUGCAAUGGCAUAAGCCAGCUUGACUGCGAGCGUGACGGCGCGAGCAGGUGCGAAAGCAGGUCAUAGUGAUCCGGUGGUUCUGAAUGGAAGGGCCAUCGCUCAACGGAUAAAAGGUACUCCGGGGAUAACAGGCUGAUACCGCCCAAGAGUUCAUAUCGACGGCGGUGUUUGGCACCUCGAUGUCGGCUCAUCACAUCCUGGGGCUGAAGUAGGUCCCAAGGGUAUGGCUGUUCGCCAUUUAAAGUGGUACGCGAGCUGGGUUUAGAACGUCGUGAGACAGUUCGGUCCCUAUCUGCCGUGGGCGCUGGAGAACUGAGGGGGGCUGCUCCUAGUACGAGAGGACCGGAGUGGACGCAUCACUGGUGUUCGGGUUGUCAUGCCAAUGGCACUGCCCGGUAGCUAAAUGCGGAAGAGAUAAGUGCUGAAAGCAUCUAAGCACGAAACUUGCCCCGAGAUGAGUUCUCCCUGACCCUUUAAGGGUCCUGAAGGAACGUUGAAGACGACGACGUUGAUAGGCCGGGUGUGUAAGCGCAGCGAUGCGUUGAGCUAACCGGUACUAAUGAACCGUGAGGCUUAACCUUACAACGCCGAAG